UCUAACAGAGGGUCUGAGGUCUAACAGAGGGUUUGAGGUCCAGCAGAGGGUCUGAGGUCUGACAGAGAGUCUGAGGUUCAGCAGAGGGUCUGAGGUCUAACAGAAGGUCUGAGGUCCAGCAGAGGGUCUGAGGUCUGACAGAAGGUCUGAGGUCUGACAGAGGGUCUGAGGUCUGACAGAAGGUCUGAGGUCUGACAGAGGGUCUGAGGUCUAACAGAGGGUCUGAGGUCUAACAGAGGGUCUGAGAUCCAGCAGAGGGUCUGAGGUCUGAGGGUCUGAGGUCUAACAGAGGGUCUGAGGUCUGACAGAGGGUCUGAGGUCUAACAAAGGGUCUGAGGUCUAACAGAGGGUCUGAGGUCUAACAGAGGGUCUGAGGUCCAGCAGAGGGUCUGAGGUCCAGCAGAGGGUCUGAGGUCCAGGACAGGGUCUAAUUGUAGUUCUUGUCCUCCAGAUGUGGGCCAGAAGAUCUCCCUGAACCACAUCCUGUACAAGGUCGGGGUCGGGACCAGGUGCGGGGAGGGCAAACAACAUCCUGAUGAUGGACCGGAUCAGUUCUGCUCCUUCCCCUGGGCUGAGAUGGUUCUGGAGGACCUCUGUUCCAACAGGAGGUCCUGUGAGGUCCCCGUCACUGAGCGGGUCUUUGGAGAGUACAUCUGUGUGGAGCAGACCCGCUACCUGGAGGUCUCCUACACCUGCAGCAGACCGGCUCCUCCCCCUGCUCCACCUGCGCCACUCAAAGCUGACUGUGA